rnacentral:rRNA from 1 species
CGCGUAGGUAACCUGCCUUGUAGCGGGGGAUAACUAUUGGAAACGAUAGCUAAUAACGCAUAACAAUGGAUGACACAUGUCAUUUAUUUGAAAGGGGCAAUUGCUCCACUACAAGAUGGACCUGCGUUGUAUUAGCUAGUAGGUGAGGUAACGGCUCACCUAGGCGACGAUACAUAGCCGACCUGAGAGGGUGAUCGGCCACACUGGGACUGAGACACGGCCCAG